GCAUAUCAAUAAGCGGAGGAAAAGAAACUAACAAGGAUUCCCCUAGUAACGGCGAGUGAAGAGGGAAGAGCCCAAGAUUGAAAGCUGGCGUCUUCGGCGUCCGCAUUGUAAUCUCAAGAAGCAUUUUCCGCUUCGGACCAAGCCUAAGUCCCUUGGAAAAGGGCAUCGUAGAGGGUGAGAAUCCCGUACAUGGCUUGGAGCGCCCGAGGCUUUGUGAUAUGCAUUCUAAGAGUCGAGUUGUUUGGGAAUGCAGCUCAAAAUGGGUGGUAAAUGCCAUCUAAGGCUAAAUAUUGGGGAGAGACCGAUAGCGAACAAGUACCGUGAGGGAAAGAUGAAAAGAACUUUGAAAAGAGAGUUAAACAGUACGUGAAAUUGCCAAAAGGGAAGGGUAGGAGGUCAGAGAUGCGGCGUGGGAUUCAGCCUUGCUUUUGCUUGGUGUUUUUCCCUCAUUGCAGGCCAACGUCGGUUUUGGGCACUGGAGAAGGGUGAGAGGAAUGUGGCACUCUUCGGGGUGUGUUAUAGCCUCUCACUGGAUACAGCGACCGGGACCGAGGAACGCAGCGUACUCGAAAGAGCGGGCCUUCGGGCACCUUUACGCUUAGGGCGUUGGCAUAAUGGCCCUCUACCACCCGUCUUGAAACACGGACCAAGGAGUCUAACAUGUAUGCGAGUCUUUGGGUGGCAAACCCGUAGGCGCAAUGAAAGUGAAUUCAGAUGGGAUCCGCAAGGUGCACCAUCGACCGAUCCUCACGUCUUUUAAGUCGUGGAUUUGAGUAAGAGCAUGCCUGUUGGGACCCGAAAGAUGGUGAACUAUGCCUGAAUAGGGCGAAGCCAGAGGAAACUCUGGUGGAGGCUCGUAGCGGUUCUGACGUGCAAAUCGAUCGUCAAAUUUGGGUAUAGGGGCGAAAGACUAAUCGAACCAUCUAGUAGCUGGUUCCUGCCGAA
rnacentral:rRNA from 1 species